rnacentral:rRNA from 1 species
CCUGUGAGGGUUGCUGGAGGUAUCAGAAGUGCGAAUGCUGACAUAAGUAACGAUAAAGCGGGUGAAAAGCCCGCUCGCCGGAAGACCAAGGGUUCCUGUCCAACGUUAAUCGGGGCAGGGUGAGUCGACCCCUAAGGCGAGGCCGAAAGGCGUAGUCGAUGGGAAACAGGUUAAUAUUCCUGUACUUGGUGUUACUGCGAAGGGGGGACGGAGAAGGCUAUGUUAGCCGGGCGACGGUUGUCCCGGUUUAAGCAUGUAGGCUGGUUAUCCAGGCAAAUCCGGAUAAUCAAGGCUGAGGUGUGAUGACGAGGCACUACGGUGCUGAAGUAACAAAUGCCCUGCUUCCAGGAAAAGCCUCUAAGCAUCAGGUAACANAAAUCGUACCCCAAACCGACACAGGUGGUCAGGUAGAGAAUACCAAGGCGCUUGAGAGAACUCGGGUGAAGGAACUAGGCAAAAUGGUGCCGUAACUUCGGGAGAAGGCACGCUGGUGUGUAGGUGAAGUCCCUGCGGAUGGAGCUGAGACCAGUCGAAGAUACCAGCUGGCUGCAACUGUUUAUUAAAAACACAGCACUGUGCAAACACGAAAGUGGACGUAUACGGUGUGACGCCUGCCCGGUGCCGGAAGGUUAAUUGAUGGGGUUAUCCGUAAGGAGAAGCUCUUGAUCGAAGCCCCGGUAAACGGCGGCCGUAACUAUAACGGUCCUAAGGUAGCGAAAUUCCUUGUCGGGUAAGUUCCGACCUGCACGAAUGGCGUAAUGAUGGCCAGGCUGUCUCCACCCGAGACUCAGUGAAAUUGAACUCGCUGUGAAGAUGCAGUGUACCCGCGGCAAGACGGAAAGACCCCGUGAACCUUUACUAUAGCUUGACACUGAACAUUGAGCCUUGAUGUGUAGGAUAGGUGGGAGGCUUUGAAGCGUGGACGCCAGUCUGCGUGGAGCCAACCUUGAAAUACCACCCUUUAAUGUUUGAUGUUCUAACGUUGGCCCCUAAUCGGGGUUGCGGACAGUGUCUGGUGGGUAGUUUGACUGGGGCGGUCUCCUCCCAAAGCGUAACGGAGGAGCACGAAGGUUAGCUAAUCCUGGUCGGACAUCAGGAGGUUAGUGCAAUGGCAUAAGCUAGCUUGACUGCGAGCGUGACGGCGCGAGCAGGUGCGAAAGCAGGUCAUAGUGAUCCGGUGGUUCUGAAUGGAAGGGCCAUCGCUCAACGGAUAAAAGGUACUCCGGGGAUAACAGGCUGAUACCGCCCAAGAGUUCAUAUCGACGGCGGUGUUUGGCACCUCGAUGUCGGCUCAUCACAUCCUGGGGCUGAAGUAGGUCCCAAGGGUAUGGCUGUUCGCCAUUUAAAGUGGUACGCGAGCUGGGUUUAGAACGUCGUGAGACAGUUCGGUCCCUAUCUGCCGUGGGCGCUGGAGAAUUGAGGGGGGCUGCUCCUAGUACGAGAGGACCGGAGUGGACGCAUCACUGGUGUUCGGGUUGUCAUGCCAAUGGCACUGCCCGGUAGCUAAAUGCGGAAGAGAUAAGUGCUGAAAGCAUCUAAGCACGAAACUUGCCCCGAGAUGAGUUCUCCCUGAGACUUUAAGUCUCCUGAAGGAACGUUNGACGUUGAUAGGCCGGGUGUGUAAGCGCAGCGAUGCGUUGAGCUAACCGGUACUAAUGAACCGUGAGGCUUAACCUU